UAGUAGUACGGAAUAAUUGUUGGAAACGGCAACUAAUACCGUAUAUACCCUACGGGGGAAAAAUUUAUUGCUAUUAGAUGAGCCUAUAUUAGAUUAGCUAGUUGGUGGAGUAAUAGCCUACCAAGGCAAUGAUCUAUAGCUGAUCUGAGAGGAUGAUCAGCCACACUGGAACUGAGAUACGGUCCAGACUCCUACGGGAGGCAGCAGUGGGGAAUAUUGGACAAUGGGCGAAAGCCUGAUCCAGCCAUGCCGCAUGAGUGAAGAAGGCCUUUGGGUUGUAAAGCUCUUUUAGUGAGGAAGAUAAUGACGGUACUCACAGAAGAAGUCCUGGCUAACUCCGUGCCAGCAGCCGCGGUAAUACGGAGAGGGCUAGCGUUAUUCGGAAUUAUUGGGCGUAAAGGGCGCGUAGGCUGGUUAAUAAGUUAAAAGUGAAAUCCCGAGGCUUAACCUUGGAAUUGCUUUUAAAACUAUUAAUCUAGAGAUUGAAAGAGGAUAGAGGAAUUCCUGAUGUAGAGGUGAAAUUCGUAAAUAUUAGGAGGAACACCAGUGGCGAAGGCGUCUAUCUGGUUCAAAUCUGACGCUGAAGCGCGAAAGCGUGGGGAGCAAACAGGAUUAGAUACCCUGGUAGUCCACGCUGUAAAC
rnacentral:rRNA from 1 species